ACUCUAAGGAGACAGAAAAUCUGAAAGAUGAAGUUGCAAAGCUGCAAAUGAAACAAUUACAUCUGUUGGGUAAGAACUUGACCAGCAUGAGCUUGAAAGAGCUUGACGUCCUGGAGCAGCAGCUUAGUGAAGGGUUGUCAUCUGUGAAGGAGAAGAAGGAACAAGUGCUUAUGGAACAGCUAGAGCAAUCGAGAACACAAGAGCAGCGGGCAUUGCUUGAGAAUGAAACUUUACGCAGACAGG